UGUCUCUGUGUUACCUGAGCAUCAAAGUAUAUUUAUGUUUGGGUGUCAAAAGAGACAAACAUCAUAUUCCAAAUUUCCACAAGUACAUGUGAGUCCAUCAUAUUGUGUUUACUAAAAUUUGGAGACAGAC